CUAGGGUGGAGGUAGCUUCUCCCAGUAGCUGCUGCGGUGCUGUGUUUUGGAUUCAGAAUGGGAAUGGUGGUGUUUUUGCUAGGCCAUCUUUAUCCUAAGUCAAGGACAUUAUUUCCCCUUGGCUUGUGCUCUGCCAAUGAGGAGGUUCACAAAAGAAACUGGGGGUAAGCAUAGCUGGGAUGGGUGACUUGAACUGACCAAAAGGAAUAUUCCACACCAUAGAACUUCAUGCCAAUAUAUAAACUGAGGGGAGCUACCUGUGCCCAGUCUGGAUUUGGGAAGGGGGGUCUGGCAUCAGUCAACAGGUGGUCAUUCACUCAGAUGAAAAAGAUUCAGAUAUCAAGUAAAGCACUGUUAUAGCUAUCAUCCUCAAAAUGUUAUUGAACAAUUCCAGGUUACAGAGUGUGGUUCUGAACACUGCUACUCAGCAGAGGAUUCACUAUGCA